AGGAGAGGUGGCAAGGCCAGGCCAUGCAAGCACAUGCAGGGAUAGGCAAGGUUAGGCGAGGCCAGGCCUGGCCAGACAAGGCGAGGUAAGGCAAGGCAUGGCCAGGCCAGCAAGGCAAAGCAAGGCCUGGCCAGACAAAGUAAGGCCAUGCCCGGACAGGCCAGGCAAAGCAAGGCCAGUCCACGCCAGAACAGGCAAGGCAAGGCAAGUCCAAACAAAGAUAGGCCGGGCUAGGAAAGGCCAGACCAGGCCAGGCAUGGCAAGGCCAGGCCAAAGUCCAAGCAAGGAUAGGCCGUGCUAAGACAAGCCAGGACAAAGCAAGGCAAGGCCAGGUGAGGCAGGGCAAGGCCAUGACAGGAACGUCCAGGCAAGGCCUGGCCAAACCGGGACAGAUCAGGAAAUGCCAGGCAAGGCCAGGCCAGGCCAGGUUAGGCAAGGCAAGGCAAGGCAAUGGCAGGCCAGGGGAGGUUAGGCAAAGCCAGGCUAGCCUAGGGUAGGCCAGGCCAGGCAAUACAUGGUCAGGCCAGGCCAGGCCAGACAAGGUAAGGCCAUGCCCCUACAGGCCAGGCAAGGCAAGGCCAGGUCAUACAUGGGCAGGCCAGUACACACACAGCCAGGAGAGGCCAGGUGGCGCAAGGACAGGAGAGGCCAGACCAGGCCAGGCAAGGCAAGGCCAAGCAAGGUCCGGCCAGGCUUUAGCAGACCACGCCAGGCCAGUCCAGGUCAGGCCAGGCAAUGCCAGGCAAUGCAAUGCCAGGACAGGCUAGGCCAGGCCGGUCUCAAACAGGCCAGGCAAUGCAAUGCAAUGCAAUGCAAGGCAAUGCUAGGCCAGGCCAGGCCAGGCCAGGCCAGGCCAGGCAAGGCAAGGC
ensembl:lncRNA